UAUAUCUUUUUUAAUGAACAAGUGUUGUACAUUUCAAGGAACAAAAAUAAAAAAUCCUUGAGGUGUGGUUUCGAUUAUUAUUCUAGGUCCAUUUUUCGUGAACUUCUCGUAUAACUUAAAUUUUGGGAGCUCUAUGUAAUGAUUAUAAAAGCUUGAAUAAUCCAUAAUCUACAUCAUAACAACCAGAUCUACUAAAAUUUGUAAGGUUAUGUCAAGACUUUAAAAGUUUGAAUAUUUGUGAGGAAAGGCAUCAAAUUCUGGCAUCAAAAACUUCUUAUGUGAUUUCUAAAAUUUUGAUAUGAUUUGAAAGCGUCUAGUCUUUUUUAUUGAAAGUGAUAUUCCCCACCCGUUUAAUUCCCUGAAAACCACUCUCCCAAAAAGGGAAAAGAUGAAAAAAAAAAAGAAGCCCAACAGCAACAUUUUUCUGUUGUACAAAAAAAGCCAAAAUAGGAAAAGAGAAGAAGACUGAAGCGGGCUUGUAGUCAUUUGGCCUAGCACGAGUCCCAGGAUGCUGACAAACUCAGGCGUGAGCACGGGACCAGGCGGAGCGUAAACUAUAAAAGGAAGCGAGGAAGCGGGACUGCGACGCGGCCGAGCGCGCGGGAGUCUGGUCGGAAUCGUCCGCCAGAUCGUGUACUGGCGGAGCUCCGCGGAUUAGCAUCCCCUCUAUAAUUGUCUUUACUUUCGGUUAUAGUUGCUGAUGUCUGUUUUAUAUAUAGAAAGGACC
rnacentral:lncRNA from 1 species